rnacentral:misc_RNA from 1 species
CCUUGCAGCCAUUGCCAUUGCUCCCUUGCGCCUGUCACCUAAAGUCGCCGAUUGCUUAUCAUCCCAGUGAGGAAUAUGAAGAGUUCUUUUCACACAGUGUAGUGUACACAAGUCAGUCGCUGGUUGUUGAGUCUGUAUCUGAAGCCAUGGAGGAGGACUUGCCUACCGCCUUUCUGCCACGUGAAGUUGUGUGAGUUGGGUGGAUUUGUCGGUGGUGGAUCUGGCUGAGCUGAGGGGUGGUCAGGUAGUCUUUAUUGUUGGUUGAUCGUAGUGUUGAGUUGGAUGAUGAUGAUGAUGAUGAUGAUGAUGAUGAUAUGUAGAAGAUGUUCCCUAUUAUUCCCUGUAGGCGUGUGUCACUGUAGGCAUUAGUAGACCUGACCAGUCAAUAUACUC